rnacentral:rRNA from 1 species
UACGUAGGGGGCAAGCGUUGUCCGGAAUCAUUGGCGUAAAGAGCGCGUAGGCGGCCCGAUAAGUCCGCUGUGAAAGUCAAAGGGCUCAACCCUUGAAUGCCGGUGGAUACUGUCGGGCUAGAGUCCGGAAGAGGCGAGUGGAAUUCCUGGUGGUAGCGGUGAAAUGCGCAGAUAUCAGGAGGAACACCGGUGGCGAAGGCGGGUCUCUGGGCCGUAACUGACGCUGAGGAGCGAAAGCCAUGGGGGAGCGAACAGGG